rnacentral:lncRNA from 1 species
UUGAUUUGAGUCAAGAUUCGAGAAUGUUUAAGAUUCUUCUAUACUACGUUUUGUUCUAAUGGGUAAAUUGGGAAUUAGAACAUAAUGUCAGGUGCGGUGCGGGUAGCAAGUAAAAACUUCCAUAGAGUACAAUGUGAAAUUGCCUACAUGUUAUCAAAAAAAAUUUUUUAACCCCUGCCAAUUUUCUCACUAGACAUAUAAAAUUAUCAAAAUUCUUCGGUCCG